CCAGCUUGUACUGUUCAACAGUAUUAGUCCCAGCCCCAAGAAUUACCUCAGUUCCUACUGUAUGAUGAAGAACGCUGACCAAAAGGACGUGUUCCAUCAUCAGUCUUGCAGGCAUGGCAACCGCAGUAACACAAGCAUUCAUAAGGAUACUUGUUAGAGUUUCAUUCAUGUCCUUCCUGCUGUUGGCCAUGUAGAGCUCUUCCAGCUGUCCAGUAAUGGAGGACAAAUUUGGCUCGCUCAACCUAUUAAUGAGACCAUUCACCAUUUUCUUCAGUCUUCCCAAUUCUUCUCUCUUC
rnacentral:lncRNA from 1 species